rnacentral:rRNA from 1 species
AUUGAACGCUGGCGGCAUGCCUUACACAUGCAAGUCGAACGGUAACGGGUCCUUCGGGAUGCCGACGAGUGGCGAACGGGUGAGUAAUAUAUCGGAACGUGCCCAGUAGUGGGGGAUAACUGCUCGAAAGAGCAGCUAAUACCGCAUACGACCUGAGGGUGAAAGGGGGGGAUCGAAAGACCUCUCCCUAUUGGAGCGGCGGAUAUCAGAUUAGCUAGUUGGGGGGGUAAAGGCCUACCAAGGCAACGAUCUGUAGUUGGUCUGGGAGGACGACCAGCCACACUGGGACUGAGACACGGCCCAGACUCCUACGGGAGGCAGCAGUGGGGAAUUUUGGACAAUGGGCGCAAGCCUGGCCCAGCAAUGCCGCGUGCAGGAAGAAGGCCUUCGGGUUGUAAACUGCUUUUGUCAGGGAAGAAAUCUUCUGGGCUAAUACCCCGGGAGGAUGACGGUACCUGAAGAAUAAGCACCGGCUAACUACGUGCCAGCAGCCGCUGUAA